rfam:Gilliamella apicola SCGC AB-598-I20 SCG598I20_12284, whole genome shotgun sequence.
GCGGGUGUGGCGAAAUUGGUAGACGCACCAGAUUUAGGUUCUGGCGCCGCGAGGCGUGGGGGUUCAAGUCCCUUCACCCGCA